rnacentral:rRNA from 1 species
CCUACGGGAUGCACCAGUGGGGAAUAUUGCACAAUGGGCGCAAGCCUGAUGCAGCAACGCCGCGUGAGGGACGAAGGCCUUCGGGUUGUAAACCUCUUUUAGCAGGGAAGAAGCGAAAGUGACGGUACCUGCAGAAAAAGCACCGGCUAACUACGUGCCAGCAGCCGCGGUAAUACGUAGGGUGCAAGCGUUGUCCGGAAUUAUUGGGCGUAAAGAGCUCGUAGGCGGUUUGUCGCGUCUGCUGUGAAAACCCGAGGCUCAACCUCGGGCUUGCAGUGGGUACGGGCAGACUAGAGUGCGGUAGGGGAGAUUGGAAUUCCUGGUGUAGCGGUGGAAUGCGCAGAUAUCAGGAGGAACACCGAUGGCGAAGGCAGAUCUCUGGGCCGUAACUGACGCUGAGGAGCGAAAGCAUGGGGAGCAAACAGGAUUAGAUACCCUAGUAGUC